rnacentral:lncRNA from 1 species
CGUCCCUCUAUACGUCAACUGUUCCUCUGCGUACUCCCCCGUAUCCGUUCGGGCUCAAGUCGUACUCGUACCGUACCCCCACGUAGGCGCUAAUGGAGCAGGCUUUGGGCCCUGGAGCCUCGCGGCCACAACCGGGGCAACCGCUCGUUAGCAUCCCAACCGGCAACGACAUCGUACAGAUCUUUCUGGAAUGACCAGCUGUGGAGGAGCGGUCGGGUAGUGCAGCAGCAGCCCUUCAAGAUGUGGUGCAGCAGCAGCGACGCGGAGUGCGCGCGUGUGGAAACAGUGCAGAAGGGCCUAGGAUCGGGACAGUUAGUGGCAUGCUCGAGGAAGCGGCGGGAGGCGCGGUUACUUGGUUCCGUUGGCCCUGCAGGGCCGGACACAUAACCGUACCGCGAAAUUACCGCUGGAUUGGUGAGAAGUUUGAUUGGAUCGCGGAACUACACAAAUCAUGUAUCCAGCAGAUGUGAUUGAAUCUACGUUUCCUUCGUCUUAUUAAAUCUUGCUGUAAAGACUCUUCGGCUGCUGGCCCACCUACAUGACAUGGCCCGCCAUCGACGCCAUCACCAAGAUGUCGGGUUCGCCUUUACAGGGCCUGCCGGAGUCCGGUAGUUCACACAGUCAAACAUUGACUUGUCUUGAUGAAGAGCAGCGGAAAGGCAAUCAGGCAUGUGGGUCGUGUUCGUUGACAGUUGUGAGCAGCAGGCGGGAAGAGUCUGCGAACAUGUUAUAUGCUGCAGACGAAAAUGAGAUUUCUUUGGGAGCUGUUGAGGGAGAGAAACAAAAUGAAAAGCUUCGCACGCGUCUAAAUUUCCUCUCCGCAAUCAAAAGCCUCAUUGCCACGAAACGGAAGAUCCACCCUGUUUACUUAUAUGAGGUGCUGCUUCUGAUGACUUUCAUCAGGGCAGCAUGCACCAACGGCCCAACUAGGCAAGGCCGGGAGAAAAAAAGAGGCGCAUCGAUUGGCUUCGAUUGGCGAAUUGAUUUCUGACCACGAGUCCCGGCUUAACAUGAAAGAAUGCAGUCUUAAACAUGUGUUACCAUUCCCAUUUUAGAAACGCAGCCCUUCCCAACAACGUCCUGAUAGGAUUAACUGCGUACCGCAAACCCAGUAGUUCUCUGAUUUGCACGCAUAGGAGUGCCAUGGUCGUUUGCGGAACAUGCGGGAACUCACUUGCACACACGUGUGGCACGUUGAAGCCCGGUUUAGAACAGAGAAUUCCUCUCCUGUACCUAAUUUUUAGCUCCGAGGAAGCUAACACACGUUUUGCCAUCCAGCAGCCUUGUGUCGUGUGAUUCUUAAGUGUCUUUGUCUUUGUAGAUGUUCGCACACCGGUACCGCCUGCAACGGGACUGCAGUUUCCGGUCAAUGCUUCUGUGUCCAUAACCAUUAGGCUGCAGCGAAGAUGGGCAUAGCGUAUCAGAUGUGACCGGUUGCGUACCUUCCGGAAAAGUUUGCGGUUUGAAACUUGAAACGGAUAGAUGGUACGCUUUUGUUGCCAGCUCAAAUUUGGUAGAUCUGGGUUGAUAUGGAUAAAACACUUGCAAAAAUCCUGAUGCUUACUAGUGGUUAGCAGGGAGCCUGGCUCUGGCCUGUCUAUGGCCCAUAGACACAUCCAGGCAAGGAAUUUUAGAGCGCCAGGACAAGUAUUUGAACAAUAUUCAUAUAUCAGCUGCGUAUACAUCCGACAGGUGAAUUGCGGUUCACAGUUAUAGAAAUCGGGCCUGCUCUCAAUGGAAUGCUGACAAAUAUUGUACGGUGACUGAUGCCGUGCCGGCCAAAGGCCAGCAGAGCAUGCAUGCAGAUGACAACGUAUCCC